GCGUGGGUGGUGAAAUUGGCAGACACGCUAGAUUUAGGCUCUAGUGCAGCAAUGCAUGAGGGUUCAAGUCCCUCCUCGCGCA
rnacentral:tRNA from 2 species